UACGUAGGGUGCAAGCGUUGUCCGGAAUUAUUGGGCGUAAAGAGCUCGUAGGCGGUCUGUCGCGUCGGCUGUGAAAUCCCGAGGCUCAACCUCGGGUCUGCAGUCGAUACGGGCAGGCUUGAGUUCGGUAGGGGAGACUGGAAUUCCUGGUGUAGCGGUGAAAUGCGCAGAUAUCAGGAGGAACACCGGUGGCGAAGGCAGGUCUCUGGGCCACUACUGACGCUGAGACGCGAAAGCGUGGGGAGCGAACAGG
rnacentral:rRNA from 1 species